UACGUAGGGUCCAAGCGUUAUCCGGAAUCACUGGGCGUAAAGCGCGUGUAGGUGGUCACCCCAGUCGGAUGUGAAAGCCCAGGGCUCAACCCUGGACGUGCAUACGAUACUAGGUGGCUGGAGUCUCGGAGAGGUUAGUGGAAUUCCUGGUGUAGCGGUGAAAUGCGUUGAUAUCAGGAGGAACACCCAUGGCGAAGGCAGCUAACUGGGCAUUAUCUGACGCUGAGGCGCGAAAGCGUGGGUAGCAAACAGG
rnacentral:rRNA from 1 species